rnacentral:RNase_P_RNA from 1 species
AAGGAAAGUCCUAUUUUUCUUGGUUACUACUCUAUAUAAAAUAGAAAAAACGAUUCUUUGGUUAUUUAAGCAGAAAAAGGUAAAUUUUAAAUCAUGAAAAUUAGAACUAUAAAAGUAGUUUUUUUACAAUAACUUUUAGCCAGAUAUAAAAUGUGAUUAAUUUUUUCGUUCUAUAACCGAAUUAGGCUUAU